UACGUAGGGACCAAGCGUUGUUCGGAUUUACUGGGCGUAAAGGGCGCGUAGGCGGCGUGUUAAGUCAGCUGUGAAAUCUCCAAGCUUAACUUGGAACGGUCAGCUGAUACUGAUGUGCUAGAGUGCAGAAGGGGCAAUCGGAAUUCUUGGUGUAGCGGUGAAAUGCGUAGAUAUCAAGAGGAACACCUGAGGUGAAGGCGGGUUGCUGGGCUGACACUGACGCUGAGGCGCGAAAGCUAGGGUAGCAAACGGG
rnacentral:rRNA from 1 species